CGCUGGCGGCGGCCUAACAAUGCAAGUCGAGCGCGCCUUCGGGCGAGCGGCGGACGGGUUAGUAACGCGUGGGAACGUGCCCGGAUCUACGGAAUAGCCACUGGAAACGGUGAGUAAUACCGUAUACGCCCUUCGGGGGAAAGAUUUAUCGGAUUUGGAUCGGCCCGCGUUAGAUUAGGUAGUUGGUGGGGUAACGGCCUACCAAGCCUACGAUCUAUAGCUGGUUUUAGAGGAUGAUCAGCAACACUGGGACUGAGACACGGCCCAGACUCCUACGGGAGGCAGCAGUGGGGAAUCUUGGACAAUGGGGGCAACCCUGAUCCAGCCAUGCCGCGUGAGUGAAGAAGGCCCUAGGGUCGUAAAACUCUUUCGCCUGUGAUGAUAAUGACAGUAGCAGGUAAAGAAACCCCGGCUAACUCCGUGCCAGCAGCCGCGGUAAUACGGAGGGGGUUAGCGUUGUUCGGAAUUACUGGGCGUAAAGCGCACGUANGCGGAUU
rnacentral:rRNA from 1 species